rnacentral:rRNA from 1 species
UACGGAGGGUGCAAGCGUUAAUCGGAAUUACUGGGCGUAAAGCGCACGCAGGUGGCUGAGUCAGUCGAUUGUGAAAGCCCCCGGCUCAACUGGGGAGGGUCAUUCGAUACUGCUCGGCUCGAAGACAGGAGAGGGAAGUGGAAUUCCCGGUGUAGUGGUGAAAUGCGUAGAUAUCGGGAGGAACACCAGUGGCGAAGGCGACUUUCUGGCCUGUUCUUGACGCUGAGGCGCGAAAGCUAGGGGAGCAAACGGG